UUCACUCCGAUGAGUACUACAGAUCACUGAUAAAAGUUAGCCUUUGUCUCAUCGGUCCAUAAGCAUUUGCUGUUAACUGCUUUUUAGUGAUUUGUUUUAAUUUGUUGUUUUUGUUUGCAACUCUCAAAAUUAUUUCUGACAUCAACUGAAGUUUUUUUUUCUUUGGCUGCCCAGUUUCUUCAUGUUACAUAGUACACCAAAAAGCCGUUUCUUCAUAAGAACGUUCCAAAUGCAUUGAGUAUGGCCAAGCUUUAUCCAACGGCUGGACUGAGUUCUCUCAGCUUCCUAAUUAUUUUAUUUUAUUUUUACCUGGAAACAGUUUUCAUGUUGCCAUUAAUUAGUAUAAAUUUAAUCUUUGACUGAGACUGAGACUAGACAAUAGAUGUAUUUUAAUUGCUAUCGAACCCAAAUGGUUUCAGUCUCCGGCGGGAAUAAACUCUAUCAAUCCUCAAGGAGGGGGAUGCAUAUGAGAUUUAAUUGCUCAGCCAAGUGUGUGAAGUGGUGCUUUCUGAUUUCAUCGGCAUCAUAGUCCGCAUUCACACACUGAAAAAUUGAUGUGUUGAAUUUACAUUUUAUUUCGUCAAGUCGUUGCGAGAAAUAAAAAUGACUGGAUCCAGAUAUAUAUAUUUUUUAAGCAGGCCCUACAUCUACUUCAAACGCGGAUCUGGAUCCAGAUGAAUUUGUGUGCAAUCACCUGACGAAAUAAAAUGAAGUAAAUUCAACACAUCCAUUUUUUUUUUCAGAGGAGAUGGGAAUUGGUGAAAAAAUUUUUGCUUUUAACCAAUGUGUUGAACAUUUGAUAGUCACAUUUUUAUUGCGCAACAAUAUUCUGGGUCUUAACCCCUCAAACCAAACAAAACUCAGGAAACCUACUGUCAUCUCAAGCUCUCUUACCAAAAUGUACUCAAAGUAUGUCUGAACAGAUCAUACAAAUUACACAAUUAAAUUUCACAACUCCAGGGUUAAUAAAUCCCAAAACACCUUGCCGUUCAUCCAUCUGUAGGUAGUCGGCCCCAUGCCCAGACAGCAGGUGGCACAAGGUGCCGUAACUUGUAAGGCCAAGCUGACAAGGAUGGCCAGUCAAGGAAAAGCUCUGUUGUUUGUUUUUUCUGCAAGGUAAAUCCUCCCAAAAAAAUUGGGUUUGGAAAGUUUUCACCUCCAAAAAGAUAGUCGACUCACUGACCUCAAAGAGCAUUUGCAUGUGGACUAAAUGUCAAGGCACAUAUGAAAAUGUAGUUUUUUUUUUUUUUUUUUUUGUUUUUUUCCCCAAAUACAGUAUCUGUGUUUGUGUAGACCUGUCCAAGGUGGGUUGCAAAGCAGUGGCAGGGCAGGAGGGGUCCUGGCAAGCUACACAAAAGGUGACAAUGAAUGUACAGCACUUGAGAUGUUGUGGAUUGAUCAAAUAUUAUACUGACAAUUUUUUUCCUUUUUUGUCUAUCACAUUUUAAAGUCCCUGUAAACACCGUUGUCUGUGGCCUCACCUCCUUACUUGUUGGAAAUUAAAUACGACAUUGAGCUGUUGUGUAAAAUUGUGGCAUCUAAAAAAGUUACAUUUUUGAGGUGUAGGUAUAGUUAGCUAUAGCUAACUACACGAUGUAGCAAUAGAAAUGGGACUUGGAGUAUUUUAAAAAGUAACUCAUAAUUGCACCAUUGAUGCAAAAGAAGGCCCCCUUUUUUUAAUAGUGGGGUGAUGCUCGGGGGACCCUGAGGUGUGUCACCCGGCGCUGUUUUAGCCACAAUGUCACUCCCCCAAAAUUCUGGAAAACUGAAACUGUUCAAAAUUUUUUAGGGUACUGUAGAUAUCCGCAAGCGGCUCGGAGUAAAAAAACAGUUCUCAGUAUGUUUUCAGUAAUUAUCAUCAAACACGUGUAAUGGAUUAUACAUUGUAUAAUGUAGUAAACAAAUUCCAGUGUACACUUUACAGGGUCUUUAAUUUCUUAAAAUUGUAAACCGUGUAUCCCAUUUGUGUUGUUUACAUAUUUUAUAUGUAAAAGUUGAGUAGGAUUUAUUUGCCCAAACCACUCGGAGGACGUUACAAAUGGAUGAUCAAAAAAAUAAUCAUAAAAUCAAAGUAGAUGUGACAUCUAGAUUACAUGACAUGAAAGUAAAGAGUGGAGCUUUUUUUUUUUUUUUUUAUGUCCAUUAUGUGUUGUAUAUUUUGGGAGAAAUUGUCAUCUUGCUGCACUGUCGAUGUCUUCAAUCGUUCCAUUGCCAUCAGUUAUUGCGUUUUAUUUCAACCUCUGUUGUUAAAUAUAUACAUUAAAAAAAUUAUCCAAGGAAAUUUGGUAAAUGAGCAAUGCCACAUCGUAUUACGGUAUGCGCUAGAUUUGAUGGCCAGGAAAGACAAUGAGGGGCAGUGCCGUGAUCCAUAAGAGCGGAAUAAAGAAACAAAAUCCCCAAAUUCUUCUACUAGGGGAAUGGUUAAAACAAACAAACAAAAAAAACAGCCAACUUUCUUUCUACCUCAAUGCUAUGGAAACCCUCAUGGUGUUUACGUUACACAGUGAUUCUUUUGAAAUGUGAGGGCUAGCAGAUUUAGGAUAAAAUGCAUUGAGAAGUAAAAAAAAAAAAAAAAAAAGUGAUGAUAAAUGGUAUGAAUAGUACCACCAUGUCAUUUGGUGCAGUCUUCCUCAGAUGACUGUACUUUUAACUUCUCAUCCGAGUAGCCAAUUUGCAUUCAACUGAUGAUUGCACAGAGACAUACUGGUACAUACAGUUGUAUGUAUAAUCAACCCAAUCAUUUGUGGGCUACUUUGAUGAAUGUGUAAAUACCUGAGCACCUUUUGACCAUUUUUUUUUUUGGUUCACUUUUUUGUUUUUGAGUGUGUUGAAUUUUCUGGUAUUUUCACAACACACUUGCUUAACUUUUAACCAGUGUGUGUCGUGUUUGUUGCACUGUAAAUACAUGCAAAUCCAAAGGUGCACUUAUGAGUUUUCUCAUACUGCCCUUCUUGUUGCCACUCAAUGUAUUUUAAUAUAAUCAAAGGCAGCAAAUGUCAUUAAAAGACAGCUGAUCUUGCGAGUUAAUCUUGUAUGCUGUUGUACAGUAUUUUAUUGCCUUGUCAUCCACGUCAUUCAAAAUCUUAGACUAAAAUCCAGUUGAAGAGCUGUGUUUGUAUCCAUACAGUACAUGAUAUCUCAACAUGGGUAUCUAUGGUUUUGAGGAGGUUGUCAUUUUUAGCAAAAAUGAUCGGCAGCUGUAAAGACUUAAUUUUUAUGCAGAGAUGCAUACUGCAGUUUUACCGAACCAAAGCCUUCAAGUGUAAACAAUGCGAAAUGUGUGUAAUCCCAAUCACUUGUAAUAAACACAUUUGCCAAG